rnacentral:lncRNA from 1 species
AAUAAGUAGUUAUUUGCUGAUUUGUAGAUACUUAGUUUAUAGUGUAAACAGGGAUAGAUGACUGUUAGAAAGGUAGUUCAGUACUUAAAAUGGAUGAAUAGUUAGGAAAAGCAGUUUUCAUUAGAGAUGUAGCAGUUGGUAUCUUGUGGUAGGAUAAGGAGGAUGAGAGAGAAGAAGAAACCGCCAUUACUGUGAUAGUGUGAGCCGGGGUAAGCUUGGUGCUACCUCUUUUCUUUUGUUGUUAUGUUCUUUGAAAUAAGAGUAUUGAGAGUUUCUGAAUAUUGUGAAGUGAAUCAUGGAAUGAAAGUGUGAAUAGAAUUAUAUGUUAUUGAAUGAGAAGAAGAAAGAUUGAAUGCUGAAAUCUGAUUGUAGUUCAGCAGAGAGAAUGAAUCUGUGGUUGUGUGAAACACUGUAAUGUGAAUGGUAGUUUUGUGUGAAGAAUUCCAGUAAUUGGAAUGAGGGUAAUUGUGUGCUGAAGCUGUGAUGUUGAGGUAUUACAGUUGGAGAUUAUAAGAGUGAAGAUAUAUUGGUGGAAAUAACAGUUAUUGGUAUGACUGAAUUAUUGCAAGGAAGAGAGUGAUAAGGUGAAAGGAGAGAUUAUCGUUUUCCUAUGUGCUUAGACAAUGGAAAUAGUGACGAUACAUUGGAGGUAAUUAAUUGUGUGACCCUAACGUGAACGCUCAAGCAACUAGUCACUCUCCGUGUUCGAAUCCCCCU